rnacentral:rRNA from 1 species
CCUACGGGAGGCAGCAGUGAGGAAUAUUGGUCAAUGGUCGGGAGACUGAACCAGCCAAGCCGCGUGAGGGAUGAAGGUACAGAGUAUCGUAAACCUCUUUUGUCAGGGAACAAAGGCGGGGACGUGUCCCCGGAUGAGUGUACCUGAAGAAAAAGCAUCGGCUAACUCCGUGCCAGCAGCCGCGGUAAUACGGAGGAUGCGAGCGUUAUCCGGAUUUAUUGGGUUUAAAGGGUGCGCAGGCGGGCUGUUAAGUCAGCGGUCAAAGCCCGGGGCCCAACCCCGGCCCGCCGUUGAAACUGGCAGUCUAGAGUUGGAGAGAAGUAUGCGGAAUGCGCGGUGUAGCGGUGAAAUGCAUAGAUAUCGCGCAGAACUCCGAUUGCGAAGGCAGCAUGCCGGCUCCACACUGACGCUGAGGCACGAAAGCGUGGGUAUCGAACAGGAUUAGAUACCCGAGUAGUC